GACGAACGCUGGCGGCGUGCUUAACACAUGCAAGUCGAACGAUGAAGCCGGAGCUUGCUCUGGUGAAUUAGUGGCGAACGGGUGAGUAACACGGGAGUCUCCUGCCCUGGAGUGUGGGAUAAGUGCGGGCAACUGUAGCUAACCCAGGAUACGACCCGCGGAGGCCGCGCCUGGGUGUGGCAAGAAGUUCGGGCAAGGAUGGACUCGCGGCCGAUCAGCUAGGUGGUGAGGUAAAGGCUCAACAAGGCGACGACGGGUAGCCCGCCUGAGAGGGUGAACGGCCACACUGGGACUGAGACACGGCCCAGAGUCCUACGGGAGGCAGCAGUGGGGAAUAUUGUACAAUGGGCGCAAGCCUGAUGCAGCAACGCCGCGUGAGGGAUGACGUCCUUCGGGUUGUAAACCUCUUUUAGCAGGGAAGAAGCGAAAGUGACGGUACCUGCAGAAAAAGCACCGGCUAACUACGUGCCAGCCGCCGCCGUAA
rnacentral:rRNA from 1 species